rnacentral:lncRNA from 1 species
UCUUCAUUCACUCAUGUAUUCAUUUAUUCAACGACAUAUUACUAAGGAACCUCCUUAAGCCGGGAUGCUGAACGUGGAAAAAUAGUUGACUCUUGAACAAUGUGGGGGCUUGGGGCACCAACCCCCUGUGCAGUUGAAAAUCGACAUAUAACUUUGACUCGCCAAAAACUUCACUACAAUAGCCUGCUGCCAACCUGAAGUCUUACCAAUAACAUCAACAGUCAAUUAAACAUAUUACUAGGCUGAAAAGGAGAAGGAAGUGAAG